GCGAGGUGCACCCGGCGCGCAAGAUGGCUGCGGCCGCUGCCCGCGCCCCGGGGCGCCUCCCGCCCACGCCGCCCGGAGCCCCCCAACCACGCCACGCCCACCCCGCCGGGCGCCUCCCGAGGGGCGCGGGGACCCGGUGGGCGCAUCCCCCGCCGCCUGUGUCGUAAAGACCUUUCCCUUCUCGCAGCCUGUCCCCUUGCUUUGCGGAGGACUUUGCCGGAUUUAGGGUUCGAGUCCUAAUGGCAGAUGUAGGGUGUGAGAUCGUUCGCUCCACAGCGGACAGAGGGGGGGAAAAACGUAAAUAAACCCAAAGGAGCCGGCGGCCCCAGGGGAGCCUGGGCCGUUUUAGAGUGGGGCAGCCCCUGUGGUCAGGUCAUUUUGUAGUUCUUGCACCAGGACGAGGCCGGGUUCUGAGACCCGCGGGCCGCCGUUCUCGUGCACGUGGUCGGAGCUCCUGCCUUCGGAUUCGGCUGAGGACACAAGCAUAGAAGACGCUCCACGGCUGAACGCUCCGGUUAAAGGGCACAUUGUGGUCUAAUUUGACUUGACUAACUCAGAGCUAUGGUAAAAUCUCCAUAGGCAGGAAUUCUAGGAAUUGUUUUAAAUAUUUUUUUUUUUUUGCAGAUGGUUCUCCAGAGGACAUUUUAAAAACACACAAACACACAUGGACGGUGGUGGGCAGUAGGAUUUGUCACUCUGUGAUGAAGACAGCUAACUCUAAGGCAGUGGUUCUCUAAGCGUGCUUCCCAGGCCAGCAGCAUCGACCUCACCUCUGAACUUGCAGAAAUGGAAACUCACAGCCUGGCCGUGGCCUUCUGGAACUUGCAACUGAGAAGAUCCCAUAACUGAGGAACACCUACCUCACUUCCGUGUGGAAGACAGACUCUUUCCUUCCCUCUGAGGGAGCUCCACGAGGGUAAUGCGUCUGGCCUCCCCUGUCCCCUCGAUGGAGAAGGCCUUCAUUUGGAAGGAGAACCUGGUCAUGUGAAGCCUGUCUCUGUCUCUCUUGGGGCCAGCUCACCGGCCAAGAGGGGGGCUCUGCCCCUUCGGGCCACAUGUGUGGUAGGGCCCAGCCCCAGCUGGGAGGCCCACGUGGUGCAGGGCCACCUCUGGGAGGGCGGCAUACCCCUCUAAUUCUGUGGUUCUAGGAUGUCCACCUGCCCGCAGAUGUAGGCCACAUUCCCAACAGCGGCUUUAGCACAAGAAAGCUUUCCGGUGUUUCUCCACUGUUUUGAAACCAGGGUGGGAAAGAGGAGCGUUCUGUAUUAGGUGCCUUCACACUAUAAAGGCACCCCUAGUCUCUCCCCCAGGCUGCUCCACACAAGCGGAAAGCAAUGGCCGUCCCUCCAGUGCCAUCAGACUGCCAGAAACUUCCUGCUUGGACUCUCCCAAUGCCUCCUGAGACAACAAAACCUUUCUUCAUUAAAGACUU